CAUGGGCGUGUUCCUGUUGUUAGGCCUUGCAUUUGUUUGACACCUUUCAAUUUGACGUGCCCCAUGGACACUACCGUUCAUGUCAUUUAGCCCGUCCUAGAUUUCUCACGAUCCUUUUAAGCCCUCCGGAAGUCAAACAAAAGAUGGCGAAUAAAAUUCAAGAUGUUGAAAUGUCAUCCCGAUUGCGCAAUCAGCGAAUCCGCAAAGCCAACGGACUGGUGACCAACAUAACACUGGACGAAACUCUACGGCCGCUGUGGAAACUGACCCACUACUCGGGGAUUUUGCUGGACUGGUGUUUUCCCAUUUCCAAGAACAAUCCUCGUCGUAUUUGUAAAUUCCUGCGAUACUUUUCAAUCGCCCUUUCGUUCUCUCUGCUCGUGGCCGUCACCUCGUUCCAACUGAUGCAGUUGCUUUUGGGAAUCGAGAAAGCGCCAAACAUUCACGCCAUUAUACCGAACAUGUUGUGGUUUAUCCCAAUUGUGUUGGGUAUCGUCAUCCAGGUGCAUUGCCUUCGUCUGCGGAGGAAAUUUCUCGGCUUUUUCAAAGAUUGGCGGCAAUUAGAAAUCGAAAUCGUCCACCUAAAUCCAAAUUGCAUCAUGUGCGAGUCAAGGAAAAUGCAUUUGAUGAUGUACGCCAUCUACGCUGUCAUAACUAUAGCUUCCGUUAUCGCAUUGGGAAUAGAUAUUUCUAAUAACCCGGAAUCAUCGUAUCUCAUCUCCACGUAUCCCGCCGUUCGUCAAGUAGUGCCUUUGAUCGUCAUUGGCUCAGUUCAUUUAACGUCGAUUGUGCUGACCUGGAUCUUUGCGUCACUGGGUGAUUUCAUUCCUUCGUUUACUUAUUAUCACACUUCUCUCGCCGUCAGCUGUUUAGAAAAUGACGUCAGGGCUCUUUUUGAUAAGGGAAAAGACGCUGAUGAUUUGUUUAUUCGAUCUAGACUUUCCUUAUUAGCCGGCAAAUUAGAUCCUUUGAAAAAAUCCCUUUCGACUGAACUGUCAACUUGGCAACUUGACGUUUCGAUUCUUCGAAUCUGGACACGUUUCGAAAAAAUUGGUAAAAUGGUCAGUCGAGCCGAUUUUCUUUUCGGUUCUUUCAUGGUCUACAGUCAAGCUGGGGCUAUAUUUUUCAUAACAGCGCUUCUUUAUUCGGUACUUUACAAUUUGGGAGAUGCCUUGAGGAUGCGAUCCGUUGGCCCAGUUCUCUCCUACAGUCUCAAUUUGUUAGCUAUCCUUUUUCGUUUCUUUUCUACUAUGCUAAUAUCUUCGCAGCUCCAUCGGUCGGUCGGUAAGUUUCGAACAGCUUUGAAUGAUUUGCUGAGCCAAAAUUGGAAUCGAAUGAACAAAGGAGAUCGUGACUUGCUUCGAUCUUUUCUGUGGAGACUUCAGGCUGAUCCGUUGGUUGCCCAUCCUCUAGGCGUCUAUAAGGUGACACCGUCCGUUUUGCUAAGUGUUUUCGGCGUUAUAAUCAGUUAUGUCAUUGUAUUACUUCAGUCGAAAUAGCUUCGACCCCCUUUGUGCGUUUUUGUAGGCAAUUUAGAAUUCAUUUUCAAACUUGGCAAAUUGUUGCUUGAUGUUUUAUUUAGUUUCGUGACACUUUCACUAGUUUUAUUUGAAGCCAUUAACGUAAUGCGUUAUCGAGAAGACACUUGCCAAGUCAUCGAUGCUAGUCAGGUGUGUGAGUUGUUUGCGUUCUACUCACGUUUGUACUGCACGCACAUUUAAUUUGAGCAUUCAAAUGAGUUGAUAGGGUACGACAGGAAAUUAAAUGGGUCGAAAAAAUGGGAGUAAUGCACUUAGCAUUAUUGUGACUUUUUAUUUUUUAGGCCGUUAUUUAGUCAAUCUAUAAUAUUGAACGUGUAUAAGAGCGACAGUCGCGCGAAACAUGUUGCGACAGUUAGUUGACAAGGUGCUGGACUCUUUCAAAGACGAGACCAUCAACUUCGAAAAAUGUUACCGUCCCGUUUUGAUCGCCAUGAACGUGUGUGGCAUUCCAUUGGGAAUGAAGAACACAGACGAACCAACAACUUUACCCGUUUGGAUGGUUUACAUCUUCGGCUGGAUUCUAUACUGCUUAAAUAUCGUAUCCGGAUUGAUGUUAAUUUCGAUAGAGAAAAGAGAAAAAAGUCCAUUCUUUACAAAUAAUCGCACUACGGCUUGGCAAUGGAAUUAUGGAAUAACUACGUACAACAGUGUCUUUUCCUCGAUAGCAGCUCACACGGUCCUCCUGGCCAUUACGACAGUUCGCUGGAAACAUCUUGCUCGCAUUUUCCAUCGCAUGGAUCGAAUUAAUCAAUUCGGAUUGAAAGAUUUUGAAGCCUUUCGCGCCAUUUUCCGAUCAGGACUCGUUUUCGCCAUCAUUAGCUAUCUGGCAAUUGGUUUUCAAUCGAUUUCCGCCUUCUUUAUGGCUGAUGUCGAUGUGUGGAAAAUGGUGAUUUACUCGUUUCAACGGGGUUUCAUUAUCGUUAUUUUGCUGGCCGGCGUGUUAUUUUUCUGCUUCGGACGGAUGGCCUCUACUAUGCUUCAGAUUCUUGGCCAAGAAAUGACGAAAUUCAUUUCAAGUGAUGACCAGCAAUCUUUUGAAAACAUCGAUGUUGUCAUAGCUAAAUGGAAUCGCCACUAUUUCAUGGCCAUUGAUUUUGUCCAUCAGUUUAACCGCUGCUUUGGUUGUUUGUUACUUGUCCUAAUUGCACCGAUUUUCAUUCGAGUAAUCAGCACUUCAUUCUUUCUGAUGAUUGAAUUAAAAGACGGCCAGUGGACGGCGGCCGUUACUCUGAAUUUGAUUGUAUUGCUAGUUCAUUUUGUGGCUUUCAUAUUUGCGGCAAAUAUUCCACACAGAAUACGUCAAGAGGCUAUUGAUUUAACCAAGAAGCUGCGCAGAUUUCAACUUAAAGAUUUUACCCAUCAGAAUCAGGUUAAUGUGCUCAUGAUGGAAAUAUCAAAUUCUUUGCCGAAAAUCACUGCAGCGGGAUUCUUCGACAUCGAUCUCCAGCUUAUUCCAACGCUUAUUGGAACAACGCUGACGUAUCUCAUAAUUCUUUUCCAAUUUCAAACGUCAGAGAACACUUGAAUUUCUUUCUUGAUUGCAUUAUCCGAUAAACACCGGAUGAACCGCUGAGAAUCGAUGCUUCUUUUCUUGUUCAAUUUGCUUAAAGUCAUGAUAAAAUUUUUCUAGUUAGUCUUAA
rnacentral:misc_RNA from 1 species